AGCAGCCGCGGUAAUUCCAGCUCCAAUAGCGUAUAUUAAAGUUGUUGCAGUUAAAAAGCUCGUAGUUGAACUUCGGGGUUUACUCAUUGGUCAGGCUUAAUUGUCUGUACUGGUGAGAUGAAUCUCUACCUUCUGAGGAACUUUCAUGCCAUUUACUUGGUGUGGUUGGAAAUCAGGACUGUUACUUUGAAAAAUUAGAGUGUUUAAAGCAGGCUAACGUCUGAAUACAUUAGCAUGGAAUAAUGAAAUAGGACGGAUUGAUUCUAUUUCGUUGGUUUCUAGGGUCACCGUAAUGAUUAAUAGGGAUAGUUGGGGGCAUUAGUAUUCAAUUGUCAGAGGUGAAAUUCUUGGAUUUAUUGAAGACUAACUACUGCGAAAGCAUUUGCCAAGGAUGUUUUCAUUAAUCAAGAACGAAAGUUAGGGGAUCGAAGACGAUCAGAUACCGUCGUAGUCUUAACCAUAAACUAUGCCGACUAGGGAUCGGACGCAGUUAAUUUUAUAAUGACGUGUUCGGCUACCG
rnacentral:rRNA from 1 species